UACGUAGGGGGCAAGCGUUGUCCGGAUUUAUUGGGCGUAAAGAGCGUGUAGGCGGCCAAGCAGGUCCGCUGUGAAAACUCGAGGCUCAACCUCGAGAGGUCGGUGGAAACCGUUUGGCUAGAGUCCGGAAGAGGAGAGUGGAGUUCCCGGUGUAGCGGUGAAAUGCGCAGAUAUCGGGAAGAACACCCGUGGUGAAGGCGGCUCUCUGGGACGGUACUGACGCUGAGACGCGAAAGCGUGGGGAGCGAACAGG
rnacentral:rRNA from 1 species